rnacentral:rRNA from 1 species
UACAGAGGUCUCAAGCGUUGUUCGGAUUCACUGGGCGUAAAGGGUGCGUAGGCGGCGCGGUAAGUCGGGUGUGAAAUCUUGGAGCUUAACUCCGAAACUGCAUUCGAUACUGCCGUGCUUGAGGACUGGAGAGGAGACUGGAAUUUACGGUGUAGCGGUGAAAUGCGUAGAUAUCGUAAGGAAGACCAGUGGCGAAGGCGGGUCUCUGGACAGUUCCUGACGCUGAGGCACGAAGGCCAGGGGAGCAAACGGG